UACGUAGGGUGCGAGCGUUGUCCGGAAUUAUUGGGCGUAAAGAGCUCGUAGGCGGCCUGUCGCGUCGGAUGUGAAAGCCCGGGGCUUAACCCCGGGUCUGCAUUCGAUACGGGCAGGCUAGAGUGUGGUAGGGGAGAUCGGAAUUCCUGGUGUAGCGGUGAAAUGCGCAGAUAUCAGGAGGAACACCGGUGGCGAAGGCGGAUCUCUGGGCCAUUACUGACGCUGAGGAGCGAAAGCGUGGGGAGCAAACAGG
rnacentral:rRNA from 1 species